CCCUACGGGAGGCAGCAGUGGGGAAUAUUGCACAAUGGGGGAAACCCUGAUGCAGCGACGCCGCGUGAGUGAAGAAGUAUUUCGGUAUGUAAAGCUCUAUCAGCAGGGAAGGAAAAAGACGGUACCUGACUAAGAAGCCCCGGCUAACUACGUGCCAGCAGCCGCGGUAAUACGUAGGGGGCAAGCGUUAUCCGGAAUUACUGGGUGUAAAGGGAGCGUAGACGGAUGUGCAAGUCUGAUGUGAAAGGCGGGGGCUCAACCCCUGGACUGCAUUGGAAACUGUAAAUCUUGAGUGCCGGAGAGGG
rnacentral:rRNA from 1 species